rnacentral:tRNA from 1 species
GGGGCUGUGGCGCAGUUGGGAGCGCGUCUCCUUGGCGUGGAGAAGGCCACGGGUUCAAAUCCCGUCAGCUCCACCA